rnacentral:rRNA from 1 species
UCAAAUACCCGGAUGACGUCGGAACUUCGCAUGGAGUACUGACGAAAGGGUUACUUGGAUUCGGGAGAGCCUCGCGGCCUAUCAGCUUGUUGGUGGGGUAACGGCCUACCAAGGCAUCGACGGGUAGCUGGUCUGAGAGGAUGAUCAGCCACACUGGGACUGAGACACGGCCCAGACUCCUACGGGAGGCAGCAGUGGGGAAUCUUGCACAAUGGGCGAACAGCCUGAUGCAGCAACGCCGCGUGCGGGAAGAAGGCCCUCGGGUUGUAAACCGUUUCAGAAGGAACCGAAAACUGACGGUACUUUCAGAAGAAGGUGCGGCCAACUACCGUGCCAGCAGCCGCGGUGACACGGUAGGCACCAAGGCGUUGUCCGGAUUUAUUGGGCCGUCAAGAGCUCGUAGGCGGUUCCAGUACAGUCGGGU